rnacentral:snRNA from 1 species
GUGCUCCCUUUGGAAGCCUGUAUGCUAAAUAUGGAAUGAUACAGAGAGUGUUAGCAUGGCCCCUCUGCAAGGGUGACACACAAAGCUGUGAAGAGUUCCAAGUGAUA